UACGAAGGGGGCUAGCGUUGCUCGGAAUUACUGGGCGUAAAGGGCGCGUAGGCGGCUAAUCAAGUCGGGGGUGAAAGCCUGUGGCUCAACCACAGAAUUGCCUUCGAUACUGUUUGGCUUGAGACCGGAAGAGGACAGCGGAACUGCGAGUGUAGAGGUGAAAUUCGUAGAUAUUCGCAAGAACACCAGUGGCGAAGGCGGCUGUCUGGUCCGGUUCUGACGCUGAGGCGCGAAAGCGUGGGGAGCAAACAGG
rnacentral:rRNA from 1 species